GGCUGGGCUGCCCUAAAUCCGCCUCUGCUUGGGAGCUGGAUCUUCCUCACUUCCACUUCUACCCCACUCCAAAUCUGCCUCGGGGCAAAGAGGAGGCGCCACUGGUCUCUUCCCGCUUUCUUCGCCAUUUCAUCUUGAUCCCCCAACAAUCUCCAUUCUUCCCUGGGGGGGGGGACAGUUUUGGGACUCGGCUCAGGGGACCAAAUGUCUUGGGCCGGCCCUGCUGACCCCCCUCCAGGAGUAAGUCUGGCCAAGGUGGCUGCUCAGGCAAAUGCAACCCAGGGAGGAUUCCCCCCUGAAGCCUGUGCCCCCUUUUCAUCUUUGCCUCCUUUUCUGAACCUGGACCUGGGAAUUCGGCUGGUGUUUCUCUCCCUCCUCCAUAAGGAAAGCCCUGAGCACUAGCAUUCCCUGGGCGGUUGCCAAAUGAUGAGGGGUGAGCACUCUGCACAUGCCUAGGAGUAAACCAUCUACCAGCUCCUGUUAGAUUCCCUUAGGUGAAACAAAGGGUUUCUAGAGUGAUAGCCCAGUAGGUGCCUCCAGAACUCAUUGGAGGAAGAGCAAAUGGUGACCACCACAGCACUGUCGAAAACAAGGACACAGAUAUCAUUCAAUGGGUCUGUGCUAAUUUAAGGUACCAGCUUGGAAAAGGCAUUCUUGGUGCAAGGAUCUCCUCUUCUAAGAUGGCGGGUGACCUUGAAUAUCCAAUGCACCGUUUUUAAAAGAACGAGGAAGGUACCCCAAAGUCGGAGGAGAUAGGAGAAAAAGGACCGUUUUCACCCCUGCCCAAAUCGAGCUUUUAAAGAAGGAGUUUGAAGAGAACCAGUACCCCGGAUACCAGACUAGGGAGGCGCUGGCGAGGUGCAUCGGAGUCGAAGAAGAUCGUGUGCACAUCUGGUUUCAAAACAGAAGGGCCAGAACACCAAAGAGCAUUGGUUCCAGGAUAAGGAUCGGGAACCAUGCUGCAGCUCCUUAUAGCCGGAGUGAAAGAACCCGUCCAAGAAGCACCCUGGACAGCAGCCCAGGAAGCAGUCCAGGAAACAGCCAAAAUAUUCAUAUGGAACAAUUUUAUCAGCCACACAACUUGCAUUAAGCUGAAAGCAAUAGAGGAGCAGGGUUGUGGCAGCCACCUCUCAACAACACGCAACCAGGAGGGUAUGCCGCGCAACAGCAGAGCUCCCUGGAAUUGAACCCUGCUUAUUACCAGCAAGCUGCUUUUUGUGGAACUGGGCUUUAUGAGACUUCCCAGGCGAGCAACUGCCCAGUUCCAUAUUACGGUGCGGAGAUUGUGAGGCAGCCUCCACCAUCAUCUAGUAACUUCUUCAUGGCAUCAAGCACUUAUACUCCUUGGUCUGCAACGGGGAAUAAUUCAGCUACAAAUCCUGUACAAAUGCAGAAUGUUGAUGGAAGUGCUUCGGACUCUCAGUUUUUCGCUUUAAGUCAGGUUCCAGAUUAGCUUCCCAACUCCUUCCUUUCUAUCCUGUACAUAUUUUCCAAGCUCCCUCUUUUAAUGCCUUUUAAUGUAUGACUUCGAUGUUUUGAAUAAAGUUUGUUCCUUUUCUAGCUUGUCUGGAGUCUUGAUUUAACUUUCCAUUUACUGAAACAUUCACUUUCCUGUGUGCAAGCAUAUAAACAUGGGCUUAAUUUUCCCAUAGAAAAAAGUCAGUUGUGCGGUACAUGUGGUUCUAGAGAUAAAAAGGUCAGGUAUUCUAACGGCUGAAUAUUCCUGGGACACAUUUUAAUGCACCAAUGCCUUUCUGCCCCUUUCCUUUUCUUUUUGAGU